GGAAGGAUCAUUAUCACGUAUCCACGUAUAAACCAUUGUGAACCGUUCUAUUAACCUUUGUUCUCGGAUAAGAUAGUGCGAAUUAAGCGUUCAAACAGCAAUAGUAAUUGAGCUGUUGUUUAAUUCGUCGCAGUCGGUGUUUCUCUCCGGAGUUCCCGAUCGCACUUGCUGAGAAUCAAAGUGUAUUCAAUUACUACUUAUUAACCAUUUUAACCAAUCUUUAUAACUUUAUGAACUAACUUUAUUUUAUACUCUUCGGAGAUAAAAUUCAUUACGAAACAAAGAACAACUCUUAGCAACGGAUAUCUUGGUUCUCGUAACGAUGAAGAACGCAGCGAAAUGCGAUACGUAAUGCGAAUUGCAGAAUUCAGUGAAUCAUCAAAUCUUUGAACGCAAAUUGCGCUUUCUGGAUAGGCCAGGGAGCAUGCCUCUUUGAGUCUCGUUUCUACCUCAUCUCGACUGCUCUAUUGUAAUGAUAAAGCGAUCGGAUAAUGAGCGUCUCAUUCGAAAUGAGUGAGUCGCUUUAAGAAGCGUGAGUUCCUAAACUCCUAGUUUGAAGUCGAUUUAUCGGCUGCCUUUUGAUAGGUAAUUACAACUAGUGACGUGGAUAAAUUUAUUUUUCAACGUCGCAUGGUUAUAAUGACUUGUCUUAAUGGUUAACUUACAUAAGGAAACCUGGUCCUCAAUGGAAAUUAAAUUCUUUUUGAAUUAGAGCUCAAAUGAAGCAAGAUUACCCGCUGAACUUAAGCAUAUUAUUAAGCGGAGGAAAAGAAACUAACAAGGAUGCCCUCAGUAACGGCGAGUGAAGCGGGCAAAGCUCAACCUGAAAAUCGGAUUUCCUAGCGGGAUUUCGAAUUGUGGGCUACAGACGCGAGAUCAGCGUGUUACCCUGGUAUAAGUGAGUCUUAUUGGAAUACUACAUCAUAGAGGGUGAAAAUCCCGUCUGUGACCAGGAGUUAGCCGCGUACGAUCCGUGCUCGCAGAGUCGCGUUGUUUGGGAUUGCAGCGCUAAAUGGGAGGUAAAUUUCUUCUAAAGCUAAAUAUCGACGAGAGACCGAUAGCGAACAAGUACCGUGAGGGAAAGAUGAAAAGAACUUUGAAAAGAGAGUUAAAAAGUACUUGAAAUUGCUAAGAAGGAAGCACUGGAAACCAGUCAUGCUUGCGUACUUAAGCCGUCGUUCCUCGAGUGUAGUAGUCAAGAGAGCCCAAAGCCUCUUUUCUGCUGCACGAAAGCGCGGUGGUAGCAGUACGUAGGCAGAGUCAGAAUCAAUUUGAUCCGCGGGAGAAAGCUAUGACAACGGUAGGCGCUUUGGUAGCAAUAUCAUCGUGCUGUUUAGUGUCGUAGUCCUACCGUGGGUUAGAUUGAGGUACCAUCUAAGUGCGGAUCGCGGUUCCCUGCGUCUGGGGGCAGAGGGAGAUUGGACAACAAAGUUGUGCGUUUCCCGAAGUCUUUACUACAAAGGAUGAAUCAGCUGCAGCACUCGAGAUUCUGACGAAAUGGUUUUCAUUGACCCGUCUUGAAACACGGACCAAGGAGUCUAACAUAUAUGCGAGUAUUUGGGCCUGGAAACCCUUAUGCGCAAUGAAAGUGAAUCGUUCCUAGAACGUUGAGGUAGGAACCUGGCAUCUCGGUGCUAGGGGCACUAUCGACCGAUCAAGCACUUGUGCUAGAUUUGAGUAUGAGCAUAUCUGUUGGGACCCGAAAGAUGGUGAUCUAUGCCUGAACAGGGCGAAGCCAGGGGAAACUCUGGUGGAGGCUCGUAGCGAUACUGACGUGCAAAUCGUUCGUCUGAUUUGGGUAUAGGGGCGAAAGACUAAUCGAACCAUCUAGUAGCUGGUUCCCUC
rnacentral:misc_RNA from 1 species